rnacentral:rRNA from 1 species
UACGAAGGGGGCUAGCGUUGCCCGGAAUCACUGGGCGUAAAGGGUGCGUAGGCGGGUCCUUAAGUCAGGGGUGAAAUCCUGGAGCUCAACUCCAGAACUGCCUUUGAUACUGAGGAUCUUGAGUUCGGGAGAGGUGAGUGGAACUGCGAGUGUAGAGGUGAAAUUCGUAGAUAUUCGCAAGAACACCAGUGGCGAAGGCGGCUCACUGGCCCGAUACUGACGCUGAGGCACGAAAGCGUGGGGAGCAAACAGGG